rnacentral:rRNA from 1 species
UACGGAGGGGGCAAGCGUUAUCCGGAUUCACUGGGCUUAAAGGGUGCGUAGGUGGGUUGAUAAGUCAGUGGUGAAAUCCCCGAGCUUAACUUGGGAACUGCCAUUGAUACUAUUGAUCUUGAAUACCGUGGAGGUCAGCGGAAUAUGUCAUGUAGCGGUGAAAUGCUUAGAUAUGACAUAGAACACCAAUUGCGAAGGCAGCUGGCUACGCGAAUAUUGACACUGAUGCACGAAAGCGUGGGGAUCAAACAGG